rnacentral:miRNA from 1 species
CACACACACAUAUAUAUACAUACAUAUAUAUGUAUAUAUAUGUAUGUAUAUGUAUGUAUAUAUAUGUGUGUAAUAAUAAUUUUUAAAAGG